CAGAUAAGAAAUGAGAACUGUUCAUUAGAUGUAGCAAUAGGGAGGUGGUUUUUGACCCAGUGAGAGCAGUUUCUGAGGAAAGGUAUGGGCAGAAGCAGAUUACUGUCAGUUGAGAGGAAAGGGAGGUGAGGAAGCCACAGAGAAUGUGGACAGUUAUUUCAAGAACUUGGGCUCUGAGGGGGAGGAGUGGGAUAGGAGAAAUGUAUAGGGCAAGCAGGAAAAAAUGAAGAGUUGGGAGGACUUUUUAAGAAGAAAGAGACUUGAGGAUGUUUAAAAAUGGGAAGGAUUCAGUGAACAUGUUGAGGCUGAAAUGUAGAAGAGGACGGAUACAUGUUGGAAGGAAGUACCCGAGAAGGCCCAAGCUCUGGGGGAAACCAGGUCAUGACCAGCCCUACAGAAAGGCCCAAUGGUGAUAAACUGAAGCUUCCAACCAACAGCCAUGUGUGUGUAAUGUUGGAAACAAAUCCUCCAGUCCCAGUCAAGUCUUCAGAGGCUGUAGACCUGGGUGACAGCUUGACGAAAACCUCAGGAGAGCCCUUGAGUCAGAACCACUCAGAUAAGCCACUCUUGGAUUCCUAACCCUCAGAAGCUGGAAGAUUACAAAUGUUUGUUGUCUUAAGUUACUAAGUUUUGUGGUAAUUUGUUAUGUAGCAAUCGAUAACUAAGAUAAACAAAAAUGUCAUGGCUCCGCUUAAUAUCUAUCUAUCUAUCUAUCUAUCUAUCCAUCCAUCUAUCUUUAAUUCGUAGAAAGACUGUCUUAAUAUCCAGCCUCAGUUGACUCAGUCCACAGAGCUCUAACGUGAGCCAUGGCAAUAACUCAGGAUGUGAUGUAACAGAAGUUCAUGUCUACCUAAAGAGAAAGGGGAAGUAGGAACUCUUUGAGAAGGAAAUAAAAAGAUAGGGGAAGUAGAAGAAAAGAAGCAUUCAGAUAUUUGGGUCUUAGCUUCGGAUUCCAGGGCCAUUGUACUUGGUUGUGCAGUGUUUAUUCAAGGAGUCAAGUGAGGGUGGGUAUCCAGGCCUUGUUUUACUUACCGAGAUUGACAGCCCUUGUCCAAGGGUAUCUUUCUGAAAGAUCUCACUUUCUAAUUUUCAUAAGGGAACUGUAUUAGUUUCCUAAAGCUGCCAUAACAAAGUACCACCAACUGGGUGGCUUAAAACAACAGAAAUUUAUCCUUGCACAGUUCCAUAGGCUAGAAGUCUGAAAUCAAGGUGUCAGCAGGACUGUGCUCCCUCUGAGACUCUAGCCAGAAUCCUUCCUUGACUCUUCCUAGCCUCUAAUAAUGGUCAUCGAGCCUUUGCAUUUCUUGGCUUGCAACUGCAUCACUCCAAUUUCUGCCUGUGUUGUCACACCAUGGUCCAUCUCUGUGACUCUGCCUUAACAGAUCAUCUUUCAUCUUCUUAGAAAGGCACCAGUCAUAUUGGAUUAAAGGCCCAGACUAUUCCAAUAUGACCUCAUCUGAACUAACUACAUCUCCACUGAUCCUAUUUCCAAAUAACAUUACAUUCUGAGAUACUAAGGGUUCAAUAGAUACUAUAGGACUUCAAUAUAUCUUUUUAGAGAACACAAUUCAACAUAUGCCAAGACCUAUACAAGUUAGCAUUCUCUCUGCCCACCUUUCGGAUCAAAUCAAGUGCGUAGAUGGAGAUAAUCAGAUACGUUUAGAGGUUUUUCCAGAGCAGGGAGCCUUUCCUAACUUCUUCAGACAGACACUGAGAUAAACUCAAGUCCUUUGGAGGAACCAGAACUUUAGUAUGGAACUGUCCAAGCUGCUUAGAAGUAACUGAGGAACAGAUGAAGGUGGAAAGAAGGUUGGAAAAGUGCCCAUAAGGUCUCUCAUGUCUCCCAGGUGAAGUAGAAGGGACUCAUGAGUUCCCACAUAGCCUUGUUAGGGAUGGCCGAGUAGAGAGCCAGUGAACCUGCCAUAGGGCCACCGAGGCGUGGAGUAAGAAUAAACUUUCCCAACUCUGUCAGCUUUUGCUGCAACAAAAGGACCUGCACUACCAGCAACAGCCUAAGAUCCUGGUGGAAUCAAGAGAAUGAGCAUAAGUUUCACAACCAUGAACGUCAGUCGCAGAUAUCAGCAGGGUUCCCCUAUAACUGCAAGGGAUAAGAGACAUUAUCCUGGAGACCAUCAAGGGCCUAUUUUAAUCUGAUAACCCAAGCACUAGUGACCCCUCUCCUUGCCCGACCUCCAGUACCUUGCGGAUUCUAUCUGUAACUGGAUGCAAUGUUGGUGAGAAGACCUGGAAAGGGAGUGAACUCAGAAAUACUGGAUAUUUACUGAAAAUAUACAAAUUAACCCAAGUGUCUGCUUUAAACUAAAGAUAUUGCUAAAAGAACUCUUUAAUUGAGAAGUUUAUGCCUCUUCCUAGCUGUUCAUAGAAUAAAGAAAUCAUUUAUAGAAAAACUUUUCUUUUAAAAGUCCCUUUUUUCUGACUUUCCAAUUUGUAGUGGAUUACAUUUUUGCCC
rnacentral:lncRNA from 1 species